AUCCCACACGUUAUUUGCACUCAAGACAUACAUGAAGACAAUGAGCGUCCAUGUACUGGAGAUGACAUCCUAAUCGAACUAUCAGUCUAGUGAAAUUUCUUGCCUGAUUUCUUGUCCUCUCACAUUUCUUUUUCUUGUCCUGGCUCUGAUUCUCAGCCUCCAGCCCUAACUCAUAGGGAUCUUGUCAGUGCAACAUCUUACGGCUCCACCAAAAUGGUUGGCUCCUGCUUGCAUUGUAAUCUCCAUCCUUCACGCAGACUUGGGCUGGCAUUUCUGGCAUUUCAAAAAGGCUCAGAAAUCUCAUGGGCAAUCAAGACUCUGCAGUUCACUUCCUACGAAUGUAUGCCAAUAACCAUCAGACACAAAUGCACAACCAUUGGCAAGAAACAGAAUUCGAAGUCUGCACGUUCUGGAGGGACACAGGCAUGCCUCCAACUAGAAACCCAACAUGAUGACACCAGUGGGAUUACCUGGGUGCCUGAAGAUAUGCACAGGUUUAAACGCUUUGCUGGACUGGGCCGGGCUACAAAUGCACAGAUGCAGCUAAGAAAGGUGAACCCUCCUGUGGAAAGCACCACCAUGGUUUGAUGCUUCAGACUCCCAGCGAUGGUCACCUACACAUCUAACACGAGUAGCCAGCCCCCAUCACAAAGUAAAUGCUGAGCUGGUACAGUAUAAAAAGCUUUUCUUCCCCUGGCAGCUGCAAAAGACAGUGGCAGAACUAGACGGCCUCUGGUAAGGCCCCUCGCAUCCACCGUCUAAAUGAAGAUGCUGAAGCUGGGACCAGACAGCACUUCCCAAAGGGCUGGACACAAACCUACCUGAGAGGCUUGGGGCGUCUGGGACUCUGUUACUUCCCAACACCCAACUGGUGAAUCACAGAAGCUCCCAGGCCACGAUAGGGCGUUUUAGCUCUCACACAUUAAGAAUGAUGAUAUGAUUGAAAAUGCAGGCAUUUUCAAGAAGAAGAGAGCAGCAAGCAAGGCGUACCUCAUAGGAGGGUGAAAAUUUGGCAAAGAGCAAAGCAUGCCCGCAACUGAGCUGAGACAUCCGGGAAAACCCUGGAAAUCUUCAAAAGGAGACUGGACAGUCACCUCGCUGGGGUCACUUGACCCCAGUUGCCUUUUCCUGCCUAGUGCAGGGGGGCUGGACCCGAUGAUCUGCAAGUUCCCGUCCAGCCCCUAACAUCUAUGAAUCUAUGAAAUCUUACUUCCUGAGUCAUUUUUCCACCAGCAAAGCCAAAAAAAAAGCAGCAGCUCAUUGGAAAUGCUUCUCUCAAGAUAGUCCACAAAUGAGGAUUCAGUGGCACAGUUCUUCUGAUCCAAAAAAUGUUUGCAAAGACUGAAAUUAGGCAUGCAAAGGUGACUGGUCAAAGCAUGUUCUACAUGUCAUGUGUGUAUGCAAAGUGGAAGAUUGCAGUAAUGAAUAGCUCAGGGUAAUUCCCCGUGUACACGCUCUCAUCCCAAGAUAGAUGGACACUGAACUGUGGUAUCUUGGCCCUCAAAAAGUUGAUGCAUGAUAAAAAGCCCCAUGGUCUCUCUGAACCUCUAUGCUCAGGGUUGUUCUGGGCUAAUCUUGAUCUUGCUCAUGGUAGUAUCAGUCUGGAGGAACGCCACUGAUCCUAGGUGAGAUACGUCCAUGUAGAAAUGGUGUGAGCUCCCAGCCGGCAUCAGCGUUUGCUAAUCCUGGGUGUUUACUUUGCAAGACAUCCUGGGGUGUGUUUGCUGAUAUGAUAUCAGAGUUAGCAGACAUAAAACUGAAGAGGUGCUAAAUAGAAACAGUGAUGCAUGCUGUGGGCAUGUUAUGGAGGAGAAAAAAUGAGCCAGUUUUAACUGCGGAGCUGCUUGUGAUUAGCACAAGGUGAAUGCAACAUCCCUGAGGCACUAUUGGGCUUCUUUCAUGGCAAUACAGCCUAGCACCGGGGCCUAUUCGACAUGUUUAUACUGGGCACAUCCUCCAAAACCACGGGGUGGGAGCAAAUCUGAGCACUUAUGCUACCUGCUACCUUAUCUGUCCUUAUGAAGCAGCUCUUCCAAAGGGAGGUGGGACUGGCCCCGCUCAUGCAUUCGCAAUAAUUCCUAUUCUUCUAAAACCUUUCUCCGUGGGUGUUUAAACUGUGUACGUGCCUGGGAGUGAACCUAAGCGGUCGGCUUUACAGUAUUUCCCUCUGUAUUUUUAUGCUUUGCAGAUCAAUUUCAUGAACUCUGCUAGGUAGGACGGCUGCCACCAGCUGGAAGAGUGUAGUAAAUUAAUUAUAGAUGUAUGUUAAAUUACUUUCAUUACCACCCUCAGCCCUGGGAUGGGAUCAUGUGAGCAGGAUGACUGAUGAAACAGCACUUCUGUAUAUCCCUGUGGUGAUGGAUAUUUUUGCUCAACUGGUAGCAUUGUUUCUGGAUACAGGGAAGCCAGGAUCGUGUGCUUCAGAAAAUUGAGGUCUCAAGUAAACUCCAAGCGUUGCUGGCAGGUUUAUGGCUCAAAUAUACCAGCUAUUGGGAGGGCGGUAGGGGUGGAGACUCUUCCUUCUCCCUGUACUUUGACAUAGGCACACAUCUGAAAGCAGAUACCUCCAUCUGCCUCAUGUCAGGCCCCUGGCAGACACGGGAGCUAUCUAUGCUUCACCCGUCCCCGGGUAUUUCCUAGCAGCCAGCUUAGGUGGUUCCCUGUUUGGGGGGCAGGAGUUUGUGGGUCCUAUUCUCUUGGGCCUUAUAAAGAUUGCCUGUGUGCCUAACAGGGCUGUGAUUUCACUAGGCCAUAGGGUGCCCAAGUGAGUUGAGCCAACUCCUCCUUUGUGCACGUAGCCCCAUGUCCUUCCAGUUAUGCAUGAGGAUACCAGGCUUCCUUGGCAUUUGCAAAAGGAGUAACAUAUUUAGACACAAUUGAAGGAAAGCAGGUGGCUAACAGACUGGCUAUUAAUUCUGUAGAUAUAGCUGUUGAAGGCAGCCAGGAUACAAAUCCAUGUGCAUAUUUUUUCUUGCCUAUUUUCACCUCCUAAUAACCUUGGCAUAGGGCAUUUCUGGGGAUUAAUGGUCUUCUGCUGAACUUCAGUCUAUCAACUUUCUGCAGGGCCUCAUUAAUCCCUGGGAAAUUGCCUGUUCCACGAUUGCUACUGCUAAAAAAAAAUGCAUUCGGAGAAUGAAACAGUGCUGCUAGUGCUUCAUCAUGCACCAGCCCUAACUGCUAACUCUGGGUGCACAUCACAGUACCUGUUACUUAUGUGGCUGGUACGCUACAGUUGUAGUUGUUGUUGCAUAUAAUUAUCAGCAGCCCUAUAACCGGAAGCUGCACUUCAUGCCCGUAUUACUGAGCGUGGUCCUUCAAGUCUCAUCCCAUAGCAGCUUUCGACAUGGAUCUCACCUCUAAAUGCUUGUUACAGUGAGUGAAUUGGUUCAAUAAUGUUUCCAGAAUCAUAAAUCUAGUGGACAUUGUGAUCGGUGGCAGGAGCAUGGGUGAGGGUUGUCUCAGUCGCCCUCCAGGUGCUUUGCCCAUCCACGCUGCUACGGCCCUACUUCCACGGCUGCCAGCCCUCACCAGAUGCCCCAUGCGUCUGGAGUAGUUGCAGCAGCACAGGGCAUAUAGCAGAGACAGGGCAUACCUGGGGCACAUGGUGGGGGCUGGAGCUGCUGCCUCAUGCCCUGGGUCAGAGCUGGAGCUGCCACCACUGCAGCUCCCUUAUGUCCCAGCUGGAUCCACCCCAUAAGGAGCCCCACAGCUCAGAUUCAACCCAUGGCACAAGGUGAGUUUGACACCUCCCACCCCCCGGGUUAGAUGCAGGUUGACUCCAAGUAGCUGAAGUGCUGUUUGAUCUUCAUUUAACAGCCCCUUGGGCUACUGAGAUGAAGGCACACCAGUUUCUAUAGCCAACCUCAAAGGAGCAAUGUGACCAGCAUGUUACUGGUUGCCUUUGACUCCUGAGACUGAAUGGCUUCAUAGUCAUUUAUAGCUAGGCUGAAGAGGCAGCCUUCAGCAUGACUUAAAACUCAUGCCUCCGGAGCUGUAGAUACCAGGCCCACCCUGUCAGCAUACUCCAGAAGCUGUAGGAUCUGCUUCUGAAUAGGAUUAGGGUAAUAAUCUAUUUUGCCAGGUUUAGAGCAUGUGUAAUUGUAAUUUUAUUGUAAUACUGGUAACAAGCAAGAGUGAAGAGUUUCAGGAGAAUCGAGCAAAGAGGUAGGUCUAAUAAUGCUCAGCACGUGUUUGGCUAGAACAGUGUUCCUCAACCAGGGUGCCUGGCGUGCAAAGCAAUCUUUUUAAGGGUGUCACAGGGUGGCAUGCAAUAUUAACACUGUCAGAUGUGCAACCACCUGCGCAUGAUUCACAAGAUAAACCCAGAGAUUUCAAAUAGGAAUCCACACUGUCACAAACUUUCUGCCCUGCUGUGGUCUCUCUCAGUUCUGUGCAACAGAAGAUUUGCUCUAUUAUGCCUCCAUAGUCAAAAAAUGAGGCACAGCUAAGAGCUGGCAUUUUGCAAGUCUAACAAAGUUGAGAGACCCUGGGCUAGGGGCUGGUAACUCCAGGAGAGAUGGUUUAUAGCCAGAAAUGGAACUACUUGGAAUUAGAAGCUACUUUUGCAAAUGUGGGCCUUGUUGAAUGAAAGAGUAUCCAACCUUUGGAAACUCAGCCUCCUCCAAGGAGCUUAGGUGAGCACUUGCACCCUCCAGGUGAGCAGCAUUAUAACUAGCUAGCUCUGAGACGAAGCUCCAGUUUGAAUAUAGUAAAAUGGAUGAUAUGUUUGUGCUGCAUUCAGGAGAAGCCCCAGAAAGCUUUAUCCCACUCCCAACACAAUGGGGAGGUUUUGCGGCUGGUCUUAAUCUAUCAGCACAAGUCAUUAGGAGAAAAUGUAUCUUCUUUAUUAGCUUCUUGGAUGAGAUGCAAGGACUCAUUUGUCUUAACCAUAUCAACGUGCUAACGCUAUUGUCAGGUAGAAUAAUGACAGACAUUAUAGAGAACACAACCUGUCAGGAAGGAAUAUAUUUGCUCAUAAGUCAUUCUGCAUAAAUAUACACACCCUUACUUUUACCAGGCAGACUUUUGGGAAUAAUGGUAGGAGAGCUACACAAACUCAGUCAGAGGAAGGAAGAAAAAUGUGCUCCUGUGGUCCAUAUAUCAUCCCUCAGAAGUGAGGCCUCUAUCCAUGUUAAGAAAAAAACAAAAACCAAAACAACCUUUAACUAAUGAGCUGGGAACAAAUCCUAUUUUGGGAGAGGAAAGCAGGGGAACAAACCACAGACAUGGGUGGGCAUGUUAUCCAGCCUCUACUGCCCCAUGGUUAUAAGCAAUAUUCCUACAUGCUCCCUACUUUCCUCUAAGAUCACACAGUAAGUAUGAGGCACAUGGUCUCCAGAGUCCUUGGUGAGCACCAUAACCCUCAACCUGUCUCUGAGAACUAGGGGGGCCUGUACACACCACAGGUUUUAAACCUUAUUAAAUUUAAAUAGGUUUAUAAAAUUUAAACUUGUUUAUUUUGGAACGUCGCAUUUGUGUUUACAUGCACUAGGUUCUCAAACAAAUUCAGCUGAGCCCCUGGCCUGCACCAGAGGAGAGCGGGAUGGUCCAGUGAUGCCCCCUGGCCCCUCACCCACCCCAUGCCCGUGCCCUGCCACGCAACUGUGGAAGCAAGGAGACGACAAACCACACAAGAAAAAUAAAUAAAUAAACUAUGUCCGAGGAGUGUUAGUUUGAAUUGCUUUCAUUUUUUAAUUGCUUCUGCUUUUUUAAAGGGGUGAACUACAAAAAAGUCGCAGCGCCAUCUGGUGGACAAAGAGGAUCGUUCCACAUCUUUUAGUGCCUUUGCGUUUGCACGCAACGAAUCCAUGGAUGCGACACUUCAAUUCCGGGUGAGCCAUACUAAACUAUGUCCCAGGAGUUUUAGUUUAAAAGUCUUUCUUGUGUGUUAAAGCGUCUGGAAAUCCUGCUCAUGCAAACAGACAUGCAGUUGCAGCGCAUGAAAGGGCAAAAAUCGUGGUGUGUACAUGAGCCCAAUGGGUUUCCCAGAGACAGAUGAUGUCUGAGAGAGCUCUGCCAGCUUGUGAGUGCAGGUAGCUCACAUUGCACUGUGGUGGGGUUUGAUAAGUUGACAACAUGGUGCAGUAGGUGCUAUUGCCCUGGCUGUUUUCAGUGUUGCUGUUUGUGAGGUUAUGGUUGUUGAACAGUUGGUCCCACUUCUUCUUCUUCUUUGCUUUGGUUGUUGUAAUAGUUGAUUCCAUUUCUUCUUCUUCCUGUGCUGGACAGCUCUCAUCAGGUGCUUUUGCUGGCUGCUGCAUUAAGUAUGUCUCUGAGUUCAUUUCUUUCAGUUUAGUGGAGCCUGACAGUCUUUCUUGUUUCAACUGAUCCCUUUUGGAGAAAAGUCAGUGGAGGGGACUUCAUGUCUUCCUGCAUAGUUGUGUAGUGUACUUAAGAGUUGUGUGGAUUAGCCAGAGGGCUGCAGAUAGUAAAGCCCCUGGAGAUGAUUUUGGAAUCAUUUGUUUAUACUAUUCUUUCAUCGGAUACAAAUGAAAAUUAAAUAAUACCCAUUAUAAACACAAAGGCAGGUAGAUAAGCAGCAAUAUAUGGCAAACAUAGACUUUGUUCCUGAGAGCUACUGACAUCGUGGAAGGGUACGUUGACAUUUAGGAAUACUCUGCCUUUAAGCAUUCACACUGGUUUUUGAUGAGGUCAUGUCUGUCUGCUCAUCUAAUAUAACCGAUGUUACUCUCACUGCUGACUGGCAUGAAAGUCAUAUUUGAAAGUAAUACCUUAGCAUAAUCUUUAAUAAACCUUCAUUGUCCACCAGGCGCUUUCUGAAUGCAGCCGAAUAAAUGUGGUGUCAAUUGCCAUGGAAGAUGCCUUGCUCAGUGAUCUCUGUUGUUACAUAAAAUGAUUGCAUAUUUCCAAGGCACACGUGAUAAGGGUAUGAAAGUACAGAGCGAAACUUGGCCUGCGCCUCUUUGACACAGUGACCAUUUUCUUCCACUUAGCUGCGUUUCAGGAGCAAUUUGCUCUGGGCAUUGUGGACCAUUCUGGCUGAGAAUCACACUUUGCCUGUAUGGAGAGGAGAGCAAGUGCAUUUCUUUGUGCACGUAUUGCCAAAAUGACUCCUCCUCCCUUUUGCUCCCAAGUUCAUCUGAAACACAUCUGCAGGAAUACACAGCUCUUUGUCAGCACUCGGCCUGCCUCAUUAGGAGAGGAAAAACCACAGCCUCCUGUGCUUUCUCAACAAGAAAGGCUUGUGUAAACAUUUUGUUCCUAGUGCUCCGUUGUCAUCCUCUUGGCUAGUAUUUUAUCCCAGAUACAUCUCCCUAGCAAUGGAAAACACACAACCCCUAAAAAGUGAAACCCUUAUACGUGUUGUAUGCUUAGCCCUGCAUCUCUGGCAACUCACGUGAGCAAAAGCUGGAGGCUGGAUCCUAUCUGAGUAGAUUUUGAGAAGCAGGACUGAUUGGCAUGGAAAACAAUGCAAAUUAAGCUUUCUUAUGCUAUUUUGCACAUCCAGUUAUAUAUGCUUCCACAGGCCGAAGCGCUACUGUGGAAGUGAAGCAAUUCUGUGUACUUCAUACAUCAAGGAAGAAAAGGAGCACAGAAGGUAGAGAUUGGUUUGAAGUUCCCAACUUUUACAUUCUUCUACUUGAUAAGCAGAAGAUAAGCAACUUUUGGCCUCCAGACUAGGGGUUCAAAUACCUGAGACCGUGGUUCUAUUACAUUCGUUUUAGCAGGUCAAAUAGGGAGACAAACUUUAGUGCACCGGGAACAGGAAAUGUAUCUGGGGGAGUGCAUCUAAAUCUCAGAGAAUCAACUGAUUUAAAUUUACAACAAUUUGGACCUAUGGUAAUAACCAGCAGCACUGUCAGGGGCUAAUGCUGCCUCUUACCUGUGCUAACUUCAUACUUGUUAACAGGUCUGACUGCUGUUGCACAGCCUCACACCUAGAUGGCAGGACAGCCUCUAAGGACUUAUUUGCAUUCAGUAAGGCUAAGGACAGAAAUGACACACAAACUGGUGCAAGCGAUCCGAAACCAGUCCAGAUCUCUAACAAAACAGAAAUUCGGUGCAUCUAAACCGCUUUCAAAAUGGCUGAAAUCCAUUUAAGAUAAACCUGGAUGGAUGUAGUAUCAGACUUAACCUGAACCUGGAGGAGAACUGCGACAGAAGUUCAAUAAACCAAUUUAACCUAAAUCAGUGAAGUCGCGGCCCCACAGCAUCCCAGGAUGCUUUGCACCUCUCCUGAAAACCCCUCACCUCCAUACGGUGGGCAGGCUAGCCUGGGCUCAAGCUGUCUGCUGCAGCCCCCACCCGGCGUCUGGCCUGGGCCACUGCAGGCACGUGGCUGCAUUUCUGGGAUUAAAAGUGAAUGUCUGUUCACUUGCUUAUCGGUUCAAUCCAAGCAGUUUAGAUUAACCUGCAAAGACUGGAUUGAUUUAGCCUCAGGCUUUAUGACUGUCUCUACUUAGUCUUACUGGCUGUCGCGGAGCAGGAGACACACACUGCCUCUACCUUGUAUAACGUAUACCAGUAUAAUUUUACUCUUCCUUUCCUCCCACCCAGGAUAACUACACCAGGUUCUGGAAAAUUGCACAAGGACAGGACUGUAAUUUCGCUCCCGAUUUGCACAGAUAUAAACAGGUGUGUCCAGGCAUUAAAACUGAACAACCGCAUUCUUUAUGUGGGAUUUUUCUAAGAAACAACGAUUGCUCAGGCGAGACCUGAAAUGGGUGGGCAUUGCUUGAUGCACGGCUGCUGUGAUACGCACCCUCGCACAUUUUGUGAGGCAGUUUUGAGGGAACAGAGUAGUCGCAUUCAGGCCUGGUGCAAAUGUACAGGGGUGCUUGUCACUUCGUCCUGUCAAACAGCAUCUGUUUCUCAAAAGCUAACCAGAGCGGCAUGGUCAUAGGAAAGUAGGACUGGAAGGAACCCUACAAGGUCAUCUAGUCCAGCCACCAGCUCAGGGCAGGAUCGUCCCCGACUAAAACAUCCCAGUCAAGUGUCUAUCUAAUCUGCUCUCAAAAACUGCCAAGGAUGGAGAGUCCACAGUUUCUCUAGGCAGCUUAUUCCAGUGCUUGACCACCCUCUUAUUUAGGUAGUUCCUCUUAAUCUCCAAUUUAUCCUUCCAAUCUCCAUCUGCUGAAGUUUGAGGCCACUACUCCUAGUCCUGUCCCCUCCCCCCGUGCCCCCAUUCACAGAGAAAAGCCCACUUCCAUUCUUUGUAAUCACCCUUCAGGUAUUUGAAGGCUGUUACCAAAUCUCCCCUCGGUCUUUCCUUCUUCAUACUAAACAACACUAGUUCUUUCAGCCUUUCUCCAAGAUAUCUUUAUUUCCCUGCCCAGGCGAUUCCAGUCACUUCAGGUUGCAUUGCUUUGCAAAUGGAAACAAAGGCCCGCCGCAAUAGCAAAGGAGCAGAAGGACUAUUUCACAGCCCUUCUCUGGUAGCUGUUUUUUUCCUCAGUCUGUUGUUCAGCCAACAAGUCCCUUGAAGCAAAAAUCCAGGAGAAAGAACAAAGCAAGAGCCACAAAACAGAUUAAGGCUUCUUUUAAAGCUCCAAGCAAUCCCUGAGUGCAGGAGCCAAGCACAAUUCCUUAAGAUCCAAGCUAGUUUAAUGUGAAAUAGCUGUCUAGCAACUGAACUCAACUGAAAUGCAUUGAAAAAAAAAACCUGUCUCUGUAUAUUUAAAACGAAAACCCUGCCCCUGCUGAAUGAGUAUGUUGACCAAUAUUCCUUCCACCUGACUUGUCAGAAAGGUACUUUGAAGCGAGUGCAGCUGUAACUAGAACGUGUCCAAUUUACCAUGCAGAUCACCAGAUGAGAUAUGCAAUUAGGGUGCCUUCCUUCUCUAUAGUUGGUGCUGAAGGAUGCAUCUCAUUGCAUCGUUCACACUUCUGAGCUGAACAGGAGUUUAGGAACACGUCCUGGAUAUAUUUGCUGGUCUUUGGAAACAUGUUUAUGGACUGGGGUAUUGAACAUUUUGGACCCCCUUCAGCAAAGCACUUAAACAUGCCUAGACAUUGGUCAGGUUAAUCACGUGCUUAAGAGCUUUGCUGGACUGAAGCCAGGUGCUCUGUACUGUACUUGGGAGUCAAGCCUUACAAAGAGGGCCAAAACUCAUCAAAAACCAUGUCAAUGCCUCCAUUAAAAUCGCUCCUAUGAAAGAAGCCAUGCAAGUGUGGAAUAAGGAGCUUCUUAAAUAGUAAAGAAAGAACCUAGUUUGCAAGAAAAUGGGAAAGUGGUGGUUUAACCUUUGGGGAUUUAAAAAGUGACAAGAAGCUGUGUGUUAAAUAUGGCAAUAGCCUGUUCUGCAACCAGCAAUGCACUAAUUAUUAUUUUAUUUGUUCGUCCCAUAUAUUGUUGCUUUUCUGUUUUUGCAUUGGAAAUGCUACUGUAUGUGGUUGGUCGGGUCAUAUAUAGUAUUAUAAAGUGUUUAUGCUAUCCUACGUUUAUUUAAGCAUGUUCUGGAUUCCCCCUAAAUUGGAGACCUUACCUCAGCUGGUGUAAAUCAGCAUUUAGGACAAGUGAUUUCCAUGCCGUAUUAUGCCAGCUUCUAGAGUUAAUUAACUGAUAGGGUUAGGUGGGAACCUGCAAUAUAAGAGAUGGGUUAGGCAAGGACUGUCCUGCCCUGGGGUGAGGGGUGAACUAGCUGACUUUCUGUGGUCCCCUUACAGGUGUAUGAGCAAUAUAUUUGUACUCAAACUCUUUCUUAUGCUUUUAUUACUACGUCUAUGACCCAGAUGUCCUGGUUUUCCAUAUUGAAAUCCAGUUCUUCUUUGGUCUGGGCCUCAGCAAUGCCUUGUGGCAAGAAGUUUCUCAUGGUGAGUGUGCCGUGGAAAGG